rfam:Gossypium hirsutum cultivar TM-1 chromosome 22, whole genome shotgun sequence
AAACCAUGCAUUGGGCAUUUUCUAAUUAACUCCUUGAAUUGCUCCCAUGCUCCAUAUAAUGUUUCAUCCUCAGAUUACCAAAAGGACAUAAUAUCAUUCCUCAAUUU